AGUUGGAGAAUUGCCAUCGGCUGUUGUAUUUGAAUAAUUAAUGCGGUUGGUCUUUGCAAGAUUUGGGUGCUGUUUUGGGAUGUUUUAACAGUCACGUUCUCUUACGAGAGGUUCUCUCGUAUUGCGUAAGCUAGCUUACGCUACGCUACGUGUAAGUGGCCACUGGAGGCCGCUAGAGGUAGUAUAUUCUUAGUGAGGUAAUUCAUGUGACUGGGUUGGAGGCUGUGCACCCAGGAACCUGUAUAACUAAUAAUUCGAUUUGCACUUGCCUGACUUCUCUCAUCUCCGAAGAUCAGGGACAUUUCAGAGACCUUCAAGCUAGCGGCUAAUUCCGAAAAGCAGCAAAUCUAAAAUUUGCACCCUUGGUGAGCGGAGUAAGGUGUGUAUCAUUUGGCUCUAUGUAUAAUAGGACUUCAAGGAUGUAAAAUGUCAAAUUUUGACUGUUAUUGGAAAUUAUUUUUGUUGUUUAUCUUGUACCAUGAAAGUGUAUAAGUUAAAGGAGACAAUUAUUGUCUUUAGUUGUUAUUUAAAUAACUUCAAAGGUCACUUGAUUUGUAUUGUACAUUUACAAAAUGCAUCUUGAUUUACUGUAAAUGAGGUGAGGAUUUUGUUUGCGAAUUUGUGUCUAAAGGUUCAUUAAUCAGCUAUUUGUGUUUACUUAUAGUUUUCACGGUGCUCACGCUGAUUUGGAUGAAUAAAAAUUACUGCACCCGU